rnacentral:misc_RNA from 1 species
AAAGUCGUAACAAGGUUUCCGUAGGUGAACCUGCGGAAGGAUCAUUACCGAGAUAGGGUCUCUUCGGAGCCCGACCUCCAACCCAAUGUCUACCAUACCUCUGUUGCCUCGGCGGGACGCCGGUCCUCCCAGGAGAACCGCCUUGGGCCCCCUAAACCAGGGCUCUUGAGCGCCCGCCGGUGGGAUAUACAAAACUCUUUAUCAAAACCAGUCUUCUGAGUCAAAAUUUAAUACAUUAAAACUUUUAACAACGGAUCUCUUGGUUCUG